AGGGGCCACUGGGAAAGGAGCGG
rnacentral:misc_RNA from 1 species